CGCUAGCGGGAGGCUUAAUACAUGCAAGUCGAGGGGCAGCAUGGGACUUCGGUCCUGAUGGCGACCGGCGCACGGGUGAGUAACGCGUACACGACCUACCUUCGAGAGGGGCAUAGGCUCGGGAAACUGAGAUUAAUACCCCAUAGAAUUAUAAUAGUUAAGAGUUAUAAUUAAAGAUCCGUCGCUCGAAGAUGGGUGUGCGUAGGAUUAGAUAGUUGGUGAGGUAAUGGCUCACCAAGUCGACGAUCCUUAGGGGGCGUGAGAGCGUGGCCCCCCACACGGGUACUGAGACACGGACCCGACUCCUACGGGAGGCAGCAGUAAGGAAUAUUGGACAAUGGGCGCAAGCCUGAUCCAGCCAUCCCGCGUGCAGGAUGACGGCCCUAUGGGUUGUAAACUGCUUUUGUCAGGGAAGAAACGCCUGGUUUUAACUGGGCCUGACGGUACCUGAAGAAUAAGCACCGGCUAACUCCGUGCCAGCAGCCGCGGUAAU
rnacentral:rRNA from 1 species